GUUUCCUCAGUCCUCAGGACCUCCACACUGAAAAUCUGCUUCAAGUGAUGUCAUUAGAGUCAGCAUCAGUCAGGCUUAAGUUUGAAGAGCCAGCCACCGUGGCACACAAAUCGUAAUCAAGGCCAGCAGUAGUGCAGACGGAGCCGGGUGGCUGUUGACUGCAGGAUUUAGGAACUCGGCUGUGCCUUCCCGCUGCUGCUGGCAAGAGAUUUCUGCCAGGCUCUGGUGUACAGAACAAGGACUAAUCUGGAGUGGUCUGUCGCCGCUCAAAGGAACCGGCCCUGAAGUCAUGCAUCAUGGGAGGAGAGGGGAUCAUUUGCUCACUAAUUUCUACACUCAUUCCCUGACUAACACUUCUUGAUUUACCCCAAUCAGAGAGAAUUUCUCCAGCUAAGAUUUUCACCACUGCACAGCCAUCACAUUAUGUUAUCAUUGCAAUCAAAACUGAUUUUCUAAAUCAGCUGCUGCAUUAGCAGAGUUGUUGAGAGAUUUUAGAUUUAAAGUUUGAUGCACAGAUUCUGCUUUUAAAUGCACUUGACUAGAGUUUGUAAGCCAAGUCUCUAUAGUCUGAAUAUAUGCUCAUCAAUAUUCAUGAGUAGUGGGCAGACCUCAACAUUGACAAAGAAUGUGGGAAAAUGCCUCGAUUCACACAUUGUGAAUAUCAAUGAAACGGUUGGCCCCUUUUUUGAAACCACACGAUUGCAGUUGUUUUUUGAAACUUAGAACGCAGGCGAUGCAGAACUAAAGUGUUCUUGCAUCUUUACAAAAGGAUUACAGCAAAUGUGAAACACAAAAUAAAUACUGGUUAAAAAUG